GUCACGGGUGCUGCGUGAAAGCAACAGGAGGGCGAGCCGCUGUAUGUUGAUGUGCAUGUGGGAGAAUGACGCCGUGUUGUUGUGCGUAACAAGUGUCUGCUGGGCACUGUUACCGUAGCAGUGAGGGGAGUUGUUCUCAGGAAGCCAUCAGCUACAGUGUUCGUAGCCUUGUUGAAAAGUGAUAGACCCUCGCAGCUACACAGGGAUGCUAGUUGCUGUUCUCUUUUAAUGUGUGUUUGAUGCAUUGGUGCCGCUUAUAGUUUGUUUACUUUUCUUUUUUUUGUUCCUCUAGCCUAUCGGCCUAAGUAGCUUGUGUAGGUACCACCUAUUUAAUGUGAGCCGCAGGCUAGAGUGGAUUUAUUUUGUUUGUUAUUUUUCUUGUUUACUGUACUUCCAGUUUGUGUGUCUCCCUCCCCCCUCCACAGCUAAUAGCCUCGGUGCUUAUAAGGCCCAUUAGUACCUGACCUUGGAUAGCCGGUCUCUGUAGUUUUUCUCACUCUAGUAGCCUACAGAGAUUGCAGUGUGCAUGUAGUUUGAACUCUUAAUUGCCGUGUCACAUAUCACAGAGUGUCUUGGAUAUUGUAGUGCAUUUUCCCUGAAUCUAAACACGUGUUAUUUAGUGUGCACAAGACCACGUGUGUUAGAGACCUGGCCUGACAUCAGUUCUCCUAGUGGCCCAUUACCGAGGUUCCCCAGUCCCCCCAUUGUGUCUAUGUAUUUUUUUUGUAUUAUAUCUGGUGACCAACCAACGCUACUCGUGUCUACUAUUUAUUAAUAAAGACUAUUUUUAUACUUUCACCAAAAACUGGCAAUAGUGUUAUUGAGUUCCCCUUGCUCUGACAUAAUUUAGCCCACUUCAAGGGGUGGCGUAGUCAACAGUACCCGAGAGGGCGCUACAUUUUGGCGUAGUUCGGCAGGACGGCCUUC
ensembl:lncRNA